rnacentral:rRNA from 1 species
GUAGGGAAUAUUGGGCAAUGGAGGCAACUCUGACCCAGCCAUGCCGCGUGCAGGAUGACGGCCCUCUGGGUUGUAAACUGCUUUUAUACGGGAAGAAAAAAUACUACGUGUAGUAUACUGACGGUACCGUAAGAAUAAGGAUCGGCUAACUCCGUGCCAGCAGCCGCGGUAAUACGGAGGAUCCAAGCGUUGUCCGGAUUUAUUGGGUUUAAAGGGUGCGUAGGCGGAUCUUUAAGUCAGUGGUGAAAGCCUGCAGCUUAACUGUAGAAUUGCCAUUGAAACUGAAGAUCUUGAAUGUGGUGAAAGUAGGCGGAAUGUAUCAUGUAGCGGUGAAAUGCUUAGAUAUGAUACAGAACACCGAUAGCGAAGGCAGCUUGCUGAACCAUUAUUGACGCUGAGGCACGAAAGCGUGGGGAGCGAACAGGAUUAGAAACCCCGGUAGUCC